rnacentral:rRNA from 1 species
GACGAACGCUGGCGGCGUGCUUAAUACAUGCAAGUCGAACGGUGAAGCGCCUUCCUUGUUGGUGGGUGUUGAGGAGUGGCGAACUGGGUAGUAACACGGGAGUAACCUUCCCCCUUCUGGUGGAUAACCGCAUGAAAGUGUGACUAAUACGGAAUAUUCUGGGUCUGUCGCAUGAUGGGUGUGGGAAAGAUUUUGUUUCGGUGGGGGAUGGGCUCGCGUCGUAUCAGCUUGUUGGUGGGUUGAUGGCCUACCAAGGCGGUGAUGGGUAGCCGGCCUGAGAGGGUGGCCGGACACAGAGUGAGUGACAGACCGCACAGACUCCUGAGGGAGCCAGCAGGGAGGAUUAUUGAACAGGGGGAGCAAGCCUGAUGCAGCGCCGCCGAGUGAAGGAUGGUGGCCGUCGGGUAGUCAACCUCUUUCGCCAAUGAAGCAGGCCUGACUCGAAUGUGCGUGGGUUGACGGUAGCUGAAUAGGAAGCGACGGCUAACUACGUG